CUACGUGCCAGCAGCCGCGGUAAUACGUAGGGUGCGAGCGUUAAUCGGAAUUACUGGGCGUAAAGCGGGCGCAGACGGUUACUUAAGCAGGAUGUGAAAUCCCCGGGCUCAACCUGGGAACUGCGUUCUGAACUGGGUGACUAGAGUGUGUCAGAGGGAGGUAGAAUUCCACGUGUAGCAGUGAAAUGCGUAGAGAUGUGGAAGAAUACCAAUGGCGAAGGCAGGUUACCGGCAGAUAAUUGACGCUGAGGUGCGAAAGUGCGGGGAGCGAACAGGAUUAGAUACCCUGGUAGUCCGCMCCGUAAACGAUGUACACUAGGUGUCUGGCAUAACAGCUGGGUGCCAAAGCAAACGUGAUAAGUGUACCGCCUGGGGAGUAUGCCCGCAAGGGUGAAACUCAAAGGAAUUGACGGGGGCCCGCACAAGCGGUGGAGCAUGUGGUUUAAUUCGAUGGUACGCGAGGAACCUUACCUGGGUUUGACAU
rnacentral:rRNA from 1 species